rnacentral:lncRNA from 1 species
CUCGAGGGGGCGGCGCGGGGUUCGCGGAGGGGCCCCAAGGACGCGCCGCCGGCUUCGCCACGCCGAGCGCCCGGCCCGGACCCUGUUCCCUAAAGAUCAGGACGGAUGGGGAAAAGCGCCCUUCUUAGGUGAAAGCAUCAGCUCGUUUCUACGUGUCAGCACUGGGAGAAGGUGAGUUAAAUCGCAGACGCAGAGCUGC